UACAGAGGUCUCAACCGUUGUUCGGAUUCAUUGGGCGUAAAGGGUGCGUAGGCGGUCGCGCAAGUCGGAUGUGAAAUCUCAGGGCUCAACCCUGAAACUGCAUUCGAUACUGCGUGGCUAGAGUGCUGGAGGGGAGACUGGAAUUUACGGUGUAGCAGUGAAAUGCGUAGAUAUCGUAAGGAAGACCAGUGGCGAAGGCGAGUCUCUGGACAAUUCCUGACGCUGAGGCACGAAGGCUAGGGGAGCAAACGGG
rnacentral:rRNA from 1 species